rnacentral:misc_RNA from 1 species
UGUGGAGGAGGACGCCGAAGGUGGGGCUAAUGACUGGGGUGAAGUCGUAACAAGGUAGCCGUACCGGAAGGUGCGGCUGGAUCACCUCCUAACAGGGAGACAACGAAAUGUUAAAUAUUAAUUUUGUCACCUUAGGUCGAUCGGUAUCUCACAUUCUUAAUUUAUUAAGGAUUUUAUUUCCUAAGUUUUUUCUAGGUCACACCCAUCACUUUCCCUGGGCCAUUAGCUCAGGUGGUUAGAGCGCACCCCUGAUAAGGGUGAGGUCCCUGGUUCAAGUCCAGGAUGGCCCAUAUCUCUAUGUUGGGGGUAUAGCUCAGUUGGUAGAGCGCCUGCUUUGCAAGCAGGAUGUUAGCGGUUCGAGUCCGCUUACCUCCACUGAUUACCACCUCUUCCAUAAUUUUUAGAAGGGAAAUUUUUGAGUUGUGAUCAAAUUCUGAACGAUUCUAGCUUCCUAAUGAUUUUUAUUAAGAUGCUGGACUCAUUGAAUUAAAUUCAUUGUUUUCAGAGAACCUUGACAACUGCAUAGAUUUUUUUUAAAGACAAUAAGCAUCUUUAAUGAUGCAGAUUUAUUAUUUGUGCGAAUGCAUUAAUAACAAUUCUAUUAAGCUGAUGCUUCAAUUUUUGAAGUUAUUGGUCAAGCUACAA